rnacentral:misc_RNA from 1 species
UUAACUUGUUGUAUAGUACUCAGACGACAAUAUUCAGAGUUUAGGAGUCUCCGGCGGGCGCGAGCCAGCUUACGCCGGCAGCCGUGAGGCAGGCCCGCCAAAGCAACAAAGUAUAAUAAACAAAGGGUGGGAGAUCUACCGCGAAGGGCAAAUUCUCUUCAGUGAUCCUUCCGCAGGUUCACCUACAGAAA